rnacentral:rRNA from 1 species
GAUGAACGCUGGCGGCGUGCCUAAUACAUGCAAGUCGAGCGAACAGACGAGGAGCUUGCUCCUCUGACGUUAGCGGCGGACGGGUGAGUAACACGUGGAUAACCUACCUAUAAGACUGGGAUAACUUCGGGAAACCGGAGCUAAUACCGGAUAAUAUAUUGAACCGCAUGGUUCAAUAGUGAAAGACGGUUUUGCUGUCACUUAUAGAUGGAUCCGCGCCGCAUUAGCUAGUUGGUAAGGUAACGGCUUACCAAGGCGACGAUGCGUAGCCGACCUGAGAGGGUGAUCGGCCACACUGGAACUGAGACACGGCCCAGACUCCUACGGGAGGCAGCAGUAGGGAAUCUUCCGCAAUGGGCGAAAGCCUGACGGAGCAACGCCGCGUGGGUGAUGAAGGUCUUCGGAUCGUAAAACUCUGUUAUUAGGGAAGAACAAAUGUGUAAGUAACUAUGCACGUCUUGACGGUACCUAAUCAGAAAGCCACGGCUAACUACGUG